UACGUAGGUGGCAAGCGUUGUCCGGAUUUACUGGGCGUAAAGGGCUCGUAGGCGGCCAACUAAGUCGGAUGUGAAAUCCCCAGGCUUAACCUGGGAACUGCAUCCGAUACUGGAUGGCUUGAAUCCGGGAGAGGGAUGCGGAAUUCCAGGUGUAGCGGUGAAAUGCGUAGAUAUCUGGAGGAACACCGGUGGCGAAAGCGGCUCACUGGACCAUAACUGACGCUGAUGCACGAAAGCUAGGGGAGCAAACAGG
rnacentral:rRNA from 1 species